rnacentral:rRNA from 1 species
GUAGGUGAACCAGCGGAGGGAUCAUUACCGAGUUUACAACUCCCAAACCCCAAUGUGAACGUUACCAAUCUGUUGCCUCGGCGGGAUUCUCUUGCCCCGGGCGCGUCGCAGCCCCGGAUCCCAUGGCGCCCGCCGGAGGACCAACUCCAAACUCUUUUUUUCUCUCCGUCGCGGCUCCCGUCGCGGCUCUGUUUUAUUUUUGCUCUGAGCCUUUCUCGGCGACCCUAGCGGGCGUCUCGAAAAUGAAUCAAAACUUUCAACAACGGAUCUCUUGGUUCUGGCAUCGAUGAAGAACGCAGCGAAAUGCGAUAAGUAAUGUGAAUUGCAGAAUUCAGUGAAUCAUCGAAUCUUUGAACGCACAUUGCGCCCGCCAGUAUUCUGGCGGGCAUGCCUGUCCGAGCGUCAUUUCAACCCUCGAACCCCUCCGGGGGGUCGGCGUUGGGGAUCGGCCCCUCACCGGGCCGCCCCCGAAAUACAGUGGCGGUCUCGCCGCAGCCUCUCCUGCGCAGUAGUUUGCACACUCGCACCGGGAGCGCGGCGCGGCCACAGCCGUAAAACACCCCAAACUUCUGAAAUGUUGACCUCGGAUCAGGUAGGAAUACCCGCUGAACUUAAGCAUAUCAAUAAGCGGAGGAAAAGAAACCAACAGGGAUUGCCCC